rnacentral:rRNA from 1 species
UACGUAGGGUGCGAGCGUUAAUCGGAAUUACUGGGCGUAAAGCGUGCGCAGGCGGUUCGUUGUGUCGGCGGUGAAAGCCCCGGGCUUAACCUGGGAAUGGCCGUCGAAACUGGCGAACUGGAGUGUGGCAGAGGGGGGUGGAAUUCCGCGUGUAGCAGUGAAAUGCGUAGAGAUGCGGAGGAACACCGAUGGCGAAGGCAGCCCCCUGGGUCGACACUGACGCUCAUGCACAAAAGCGUGGGGAGCAAACAGG